UAGGAUUGUCUAACAUACCUAUAUGGGC
rnacentral:sRNA from 1 species